rnacentral:rRNA from 1 species
UACAGAGGGUGCAAGCGUUGUUCGGAAUUAUUGGGCGUAAAGGGCGUGUAGGCGGCUUGUUAAGUCUUCUGUGAAAUCUACGGGCUCAGCCUGUAACGUGCAGAGGAAACUGGCGAGCUUGAGUGUCGGAGGGGGUGGCGGAAUUCCCGGUGUAGAGGUGAAAUUCGUAGAUAUCCGAAGGAAUACCAAAGGCGAAGGCAGUGUCCUGGCUGGCAACUGACGCUGAGGCGCGAAAGCUAGGGGAGCGAACAGG